rnacentral:misc_RNA from 1 species
GAUGAAGAACGUAGCGAAAUGCGAUAAGUAAUGUGAAUUGCAGAAUCCAGUGAAUCAUCGAAUCUUUGAACGCACAUUGCGCCCGCCAGCAUUCUGGCGGGCAUGCCUGUUCGAGCGUCAUAUCAACCCUCGACCUCCCCUUGGGGAGGUCGGCGUUGGGGACCGGCAGCACACCGCCGGCCCUGAAAUGGAGUGGCGGCCCGUCUGCGGCGACCUCUGCGUAGUAAUACAGCUCGCACCGGAACCCCGACGCGGCCACGCCGUAAAACACCCAACUUCUGAACGUUGACCUCGAAUCAGGUAGGACUACCCGCUGAACUUAAGCAUAUCAAUAAGCGGAGGA